rnacentral:rRNA from 1 species
UUUUGGACAAUGGGGGCAACCCUGAUCCAGCCAUGCCGCGUGUGUGAAGACGGUCUUCGGAUUGUAAAGCCCUUUAAGUUGGGAGGAAGGGCUUUAGGUUAAUACCCUGAAGUUUUGACGUUACCAAGCGAAUAAGCACCGGCUAACACUGUGCCAGCAGCCGCGGUAAUCCAGAGUGUGCAAGCGUGAAGCGGAACUAUUGGGCGUAAAGCGCGCGUAGGUGGUUCAGUAAGAUGGGUGUGAAAUCACCGGGCUUAACCUGGGAACUGCUUUCAUAACUGCUGAGCUAGAGUACGGUAGAGGGUAGUGGAAUUUCCUGUGUAGCGGUGAAAUGCGUAGAUAUAGGAAGGAACACCAGUGGCGAAGGCGACUACCUGGACUGAUACUGACACUGAGGUGCGAAAGCGUGGGGAGCAAAC